CUCACUAUCCAGUAGGUGGCGGUGUAUGUAUCUUAAAUUGGAUGCGAUCCGCCAACACAAUCCCAAAGAAGAAGUAUUUUUAUCCUCGUCUGAGGCGGGAAGCUAGCAAAGCAGGGCUCAUUUUUAUUUUUGUUAAAACCUUACAUUUUGUUAUGUAUUGCGGAAAGGAGAUGAUUCGAAUGGAUGGGCAUGACCAAAACACAUUGAACAUGUGGUUCAGCAUAUCUCAACGAGUCGGUUGUCCUUGAAGUCAAGAGAUGCAUGCUGACAAUAAAGGUACACACAUUUCUGUGGUGCCAAGAUCAUGGGUCCCUCUCACCUCUGCUGUAAUUGGCCUACUGGUGGUUCAGGAUAUUUUAACAAGUCAAUGUCCUUGAAGUCCAAUGAUGGCAAUGGAGCGGCAAAGCAUAGAAAUAGAAUGACACAGAUUCUAUUUCCGUGGCGCCAAGAUCCAUGGAUCCCUCUCACCUCUGCUGUAAUUGGCCUACGUGUGGGUUGGCAUCUCAUCGUGUCCGAUGUCCUUGAUGAACUCACAUGAGGGCGUCUAUUGAGACCAGAUGCAUGAUGACAAUGAAGGGCAAAGCAUGAGAAAUAUAUUAUUAACAGAUUCGAUUUCUGUUAGAAAUGGGUCCCUCUCACCUCCGCUGUAAUUGGCCUACUGGGCCUACCCUGGACAAACACGGACAACGCUGGGCCAAUUGUG